ACGGAUGGCUGCUGAUCGAUCGCGUGGUCCAGCAGGUUGUGCUGCAGGUGGACCAGCGGCCAAGCAGCGAUCUUAUAUCCGAUCCCGAUCCGGUCAAAUGCCGCUGGUGGAUUAAGAAGUGCGACGACUCAGAAACGUCCAACUGGAUCGCGGCCAAUACCAAAGAAUGUGAUCAUAGAGAAAGAAGGCGGCUGCAACCAUAUGGUGUGCAAGAACAAGUUCUGUUGGGUCUGCCUCGGCUUCUGGGAGCCGCACAGCUCCUCCUGGUACAACUGUAACCGGUACGAUGAGAGGAGGCCAAGGCACCUCGUGAUGCCCAGGAGAAGUUGCGCUCAUCCCUGGCCAGGAUUCCCCACUACGAGUAAAGGCUGAAGAGUCUCCAGUACAGGAAGCGCUUUAUGCCGACGGUCAACGAUCUUAUACACCGCAUCGCCAGAUGCAUUUUUAAUAACCACAGGCAACUACAUGAACCGCAGGGCGCGUGACCCACACCAAGUCCAGUGCCGCCAAGGGCACCACCCUGCUGCAGUAUCUCGUCCAGGUAAUCGAGAGUAAAUUCAUGGAUCCACUGGAGCUGGAGGAUCAUAUUCCGUAUGCCCGUGAGGCUUCCAAGGUGUCGCUGGGCGAGAUGGACAAGGAUAUCCAGAUGCUGCGCACCGGCCUGGCGGAUGUGGCACGCGAAAUCGAGUUUCAUCGAACUUUGCCCUUCAUGCGGGAGUUCCACGCUCGGUCCACUUUGCGGAGCUGGAGGACAAGUUCCAGGACAUAAAGACCCGCUUCGAUCACGCCCUGCGUCUGUUCGGCGAGGAUGGUUCGAUCGGUAUCAUCGCUUGCUUAUUGCGCAGCAGAAGCGGGCCCGUCUCGAGCAUCUGGUCACCGAGUACAGCAUACCUGAUGGCCAGAAGGUGGCCGGUCUGACUGGCUGCAAUGGAGCAGUGUAGCCACCGCCGCGGCCGCCCUCGGCCAUGGUCAUGGCCAUACCGCCGCCACCACCAAAAUGGCGCCGGCCAUAAUGCCGCCACCGCCAAAAUGGCGCCGGCCAGGAUGCCAGCACCACCGCCGGCCGGGUGCACCGCCUUCGCCACCGUGGAUGACGCCAGCAAUGGGUGGAGCCGCCAAAGAAGAACGUGCCACAGCCCACGAAUCCAUUAAAGAGCCUCAAAUGGUCCAAGCUGCCGGAUGCCAAGCUCCAGGGCACCGUCUAGAGCGAGCUUGACGAAAGCAAACUGUAUAUCAACAUGGAGUUGGAGUCGAUAGACAAGUUAUUUUCGGCUUACCAAAAGAAUGGGGUAUCGGUGAGUGCCUAGGAGAGAUUCCGCUGAAAGAAAGAAAGAGGAGCAACUGACGCAGGCAGGCAAGCGCGAUGAUGAGCUGGAACGUGAGAACUUUGAUGUGCAGGAUCUUGAAACGGGUCAGCAUUCGCAGGCGGUGCAGCGCGUGCAGGCCGCCGAAAUGAA